GCGCUUUUCCGUCCGUGACAUUUGGCAACACGCCCGCCGCCGAUAACAACACGUCGGCACCUGGCAGCCGUGGCCGCGUCGCCACCCGCCGGGAGUUGUUGCACCACCAUGGUUCGCAGGCUGAGGCCACUACUGGGGACCCGCUUCAACUAAUGAGUGAGAUUUUCCUGAACCAACAUGGACCUUAGAUCCCCUGAGUGGAUUCAGAGUAAGGCUGUCAAGAUGCUCCCAGCAACGAAAGGUUCAGGCAGUGGUAGAGGAGUCACCAGAAAGCAGACUGAGGUGUUAUCAGGCAUGAUUGUGUGGAAUGUGCUGCUGCUUGUCCUCCUAGUGUUGACUGUGUGUGUGCAAGGGGAGGGGGGUGCUGCUCCCCCAAACUUAUCCCCUCACCAGGAACUCCGCCGCUCAGCUAAGAGUGAAACUGUCAAGAAAGAAGAAGCAGGGAGUCCUGAGGCAGCAAAGCCUGUGGAAAAACCAACUCUUCCACCACAGUCAGCUGAAAGUAAUGUGUCUCUGCAGCCCAAAGACUUCCAGGCGACGCCAAGGAGCAACGAAGAAGAAUCAGAGGAGAAAAGUGGAGAGAAAGGAGAUGGAGAAACACAACCCAUUCCAGAGAACAAGGGUGGUAAUGCAAAUGCAACUACCAAGAAUGAUGCUGGGUUGCUGCCGUCACACCUUCCCAACAUGUCCACAGACGCCGUCCUCAGAGGCUUCUACGUGUUUGUUGGCAUUGGCGCCAUUAUCCUCGUCUAUAUUGUUAUUAAGAUGGCAAGGCUGAGAAAGAGACGAGCUGCUGGCAAAUACCGAGUCUUGUCUCACGGUGAUGACCAGGAGAUGUUCCCUCUGGCAGCUGGGGAAGGUGAUGAUGAAGAAAUUUUCAAUGCUGCUCAUCAUCAGUCACGGAAAUAGCUGACAAUGCUUAUCACUGGCUGUCUCAUCUUUUCUCCUCUGCUUAGAUUGAGAGACUCAGGAUUUGCAUCCCUUGUGCAAGUGCCAGCCCUUUUUUGAAUGGUGAUGUGUAUGUGUAUGUGUAUGUCAGUAUGUCUGUGUGUUCUUGUGUACUCAUGUGGCCAGUUACAUUGAACACAGUAUGACUAUGAACAUUUAAUUCAAAUGUGUAACUUAUAGUAUUCUCAUUCUCAGUUUGACAUUAUUUCUGUUUUUGUUUAUUUCAGUAUAUUCAGGUUAUUUGUUGUUUAUUGAAGGAGUUUAGGGAUGUUUCUGUGAUGCAUGGUACAGUAUACACUCUUUAAUACAAGAUACGUACCGAAUAUAAUUGCAUUAAAUGAAAUUCAUGCCAAAUAGAGAUGUAAUUAUAUCAAUGGGAUUUAUUAAUUUGGUACAGGUAGGACAUUUUAGGUGAGGAGUUAGCUAAAGGGUAAAAUUGAAGAGAUACAGAUUUACAGCUGUAGUGCUGUUCCUGCAACCAAAAGACAGUAAAAGUAGCAGAAAGAGGAUGUCAGUUUUGGUUAGAUGUCUUGAUACUCCCUUCUUGAAAGCAUUCAUGAUGUUGGAUGGAAGUGAUACAGAUGAAGCUGGGGUAUUCCAGAGUUUACUAGCGAUUCUGAUUAAUUUUAGCAUAAUAGAUUAGGACCACAUGGGAGCUGUAUUAAAGCAGAAAUGUAUAAAUAUAAUAUAUACAGUUUUGGAGUACAGUCUUGUGUAAUGGGGCAGACAUUGUGGAAAUGAAUGUGUAUGGUGGGCAAAAGAACAACAGCUACCCUGCGUUCAAUGAGUCAUCGGGCACGCAGUUCCCCGCAGGUGGGGGGGUGAUCAGGUGUGCACAACAAAAAUGGCAUGCUACACAACAGCUCCCCUACAAUAUUCCUGCAGCAGCUCUUUUAGGCAACCAUUUAUUGAAAACAGCAAUUAUAGUUGAAUGAAAAAUUUGCAGUUGGCUAAAGGAGCUGCCUUGUACAGGCCUACCAGCCUCUUGUAGACUCCUGCGUUCUUAUGUUCUUAUGAUACAAAAGAGGUGACAGUGGACACAAGGUGCUUGUAAACAAAGCAGGGAACAGAAAAGUAUGAAGCGCGCCAUGUUAGUCGAGAAAGCUAGUUUGGGGUUAAUAAGUUAUGAGUUGCAUCUGGUGCAAACAGAUUUAAACUAUCACUGAAUUUGAAAAUUAGUCUAACUAACCACUGUGUGUGUCUAUAGUCUAUACGAUGGAAAAUAAAAUCAACCAAUCAGCAGCUGCUUUCCUUAUGCCCUAUGCUAAUGAGGGUUUAAGAAGGACUCAGUCACUGAGAAACUGAUGCCUCAGUUGCAUUCCUAUUUCAUUUAGCCAGUCGUGCUGGAAUGGACUCAGUCUCACCUGACGCUUGCUUAUUAUUGACAUUACACAUGAUUUUGUGCUUAUUUUACAUUUUCAUUGCUUGCUUUUGUUUCUUUGUUUGACUGAUUGGCUUCUCUGCUGCAUAGAGUGUUUUUAUUAUGCUACUAAUUUAAUUUGAAUUAUAUGGAGGAUGACUUUGUUUUAUGGAAAAUGUGUCCUAAAGUUAGGUCUUGCAUUAUAAGGAUGUCCUUAAAAACAAAUGUGCUUAAUGGAGGGUCUUUUGUAUUUCAAAGUUUUCUGAUAAAAUUGAUAUUCUAAUCUUUGUGCAGAGAAACCCUAAGAGAGAAAGUAGUGGAAUAGUUAGAAAUGCCUUUGUGUUGUUGAUUCCUAGUUGCUCUUCUCUAAUGAAUUUAUACCAAAACUUUCUAUCUUUUGGUUUAAUAUAAAUAGGUUAUUAUAUGAAUGCAAGUUUAAAAGGAUUUGGUUAUUGAAAUAGUGAGUAACACAGCAUUAUUAAAGGUAUAAGUAAUGAAACUUGCAAGUUUAUAAAAUAAUUUCUGUGUCAUCAAUCUCAUUUGUGUAUAAUGUUGUAGAGCAGUGGUUCCCAAACUGGGGGGCACGCUCCCCUGGGGGGGCGUGAGCUGGAUACGAGGGGGGUGUGAUUCUGUCUACCAAAAAUUGCAGUUUUGCAAUAAAUAAAUACACACACACACACACACAAGUCAGAGGUCUAGAGUGUAGGCAGUGGAAAUGAGUUAUUUGAGGAGUUCAUGUGGUGUGAGUAGAAUGGAUGGAAUGAGUAAUGAAAGUGUGUAUGACCAUUUUGGAAUGUGUCACGUGGGUGAAGGGAAGAAGUGAAGCGACAGACUUUAAAGUGGUUUGGUCACAUGGAGCGAAUGGAGGAGAGUAGGAUGACCAGGAGGGUGUAUGUGAGUGAGAUAAAGGGAGGGAAUGUUAGAGGAUGACCUCCAGUGAAAUGGAGGAAUAGGGUACAGGAGUAUGUUAGGGAGAGGGGGGAAAGAUCCGUGAGAGACUUUGAGCAGGCAAGGAGGGAGUGCCUGAAUAGAGAGACGGAAACUCUUCUGCCGUGGCCAUCCCCUGGUGGGAGCUCCUAGGAGCAGGCGUCGAUGAGAUGAUGAUGAUGAUGAUAUAUAUAGAUAUAUAUAUAUAUAUAUAUAUAUAUAUAUAUAUAUAUAUAUAUAUAUAUAUAUAUAUAUAUCUAUAUAUAUGUGUGUGUGUGUGUAUAAAGGAUGGGGAGUGUGAGUAUUUCUUAGAAAUCAAUAGGGGACAUCAUGUAAAAAAGUUUGGGAACAACUGCUGUAGAGUGUCACCAAAUGCCAGUUGUUAAACUUUCUAAUUUCAUUAGUAAUCAUCUCAUCAUCUUAUAAUUUACCUUUUUUAAUACUAAUUUUAUCAUCAUCAUAAUCAUCGCUGUCCCCUUUUCCUGCAGAGACACUGUUAGGAAGGCCUUUGAAGCCUACUUUCAUACUAAAUAAUAAACCCACCCAUUCAUUGUGCCAGAAAAAAAAUAGCAUAGCACAGAACUAAGAUCAUUGUUUGAGUCAUCAGAUAGGUCCUGGAUGCCUGCUUUCAAACAAAAUAAUAACCCACCUAUUCAUCAUGCCAGGAAACAAAUAGCAAAACAGGACUGUUAAGAGCAUUGCCAACUUGCCACCUCUCCUAAUGGCGUUUCCAUAAGGCUGUGUAAACAAUAGGGAUUGUUUAUUACUUUAUAUUAAGGAAUGUUUUUGGUGUUUGUCUUUCUCAUCCAAGGAGUAGAUAAAUAAUCAGUGCUGGGAACCAAUUCUCCAAUGUCAGUGCUCAUCACACAUUCAUUAGUAUGUAAAAGCCAGAUUUAAUAUAAUAUAUUUAUUAAUCAUAAUAUUUUGCCUACGGUGUGUGUGUGUGUGUGUGUGUGAUUAAGUGUGUUAGUGUGGAUGCAUGUACAUGUAUGUGUGCAUGUGCAGUCUUGUGUUCAAGCAUGCAUAGGUGAGUUGGUGUGCAUGCAUGUAUUUAUUGGUGCUUGCCUACACAGGUGAGAAUGUUUACAUGCCCUUGUGUCCAUGUGUGCUUUAGAAACAUGAAAAAAAUACAAAAAUUUACAGAAAUUAUUUUUCAAAUUUCACUGCAAAUUUGGCUCUGUAGGCAGUAAAUUUCCGGGUCAAAGAUUAUAAACUAUUUUACAGACUCCAUCGUGAUAAAAUGAAGAACAUUUCUUCAAUAAUUUUUCUGUACGUCACACCAGUAAAAAGUUGGAAUUUUUGGAGAACUUGAAAUUCCAGCCAAAUGCGACAACCUAGAAAGAAACUAAUUUCACAGCAGGGUGCGCCAGAAAAUUUUCUAUAAAAUACCGUUUAUGACGUUUUCUCAGUUUCAAAGUUCAUUUUCCACUGACUUUUGCAUUCAGUGGGAUCUCCUGAGAAAAACUGUUGCGGUCAAAGAGGGUUUACACAUAAUUAUAUCAUCACAACGGAAAUUAAUACAAAUACAAUAAAUGCUUAAGUAUUAUGCUGCCUUCUCUUGCUGAUGUAACUUGUAUAAUUCAAUGGUUAUAAAAUGUAUACUUUAUGUGAGAGCUGAAAUGUAAAGACAUUUCAGUUUUUUCAAGUAUGUGCUACAAGUGAUAUAACCAAUAUAUGUGUCUUCUAUUUUAACAACUGACUUUAGUAUGUACUUAAGUUUCCUAUUCUUGUUGUCUUCUGGUGUUAUUCAUUAUGUGAGGGGCAUUGUCUCAGCUCUCAUAUUCAUUCCUGGUUAGUACUGGAGUGUAAUGCAGUGAUUAUUGAAAAAAAGAGAAACCAUGCCAUUGGAUUACACAUUAAAAAAUGGAACUAAAAAAAAAUAUUACAUUUGUGAAGUUCAGAUUAGUAUCCAAUUAAAAAAUAGAAAUAUGCAUGAUAAGGCUAAGCAAAGCAGUAAAACAUAAAAAUAUGGAGGUAUAGGCUUGUAGAAAGAGACAGAACUAGCAAGCUGGGAAGUAUUUCAGUUACAAUAUGUCAAAGAAAAAAAAUUAUAGGUUUCCACUUAUUGGAACUGUGGUGAUAUGGAAACAUCAAUAUGAAAGAGCUGCUAUAUUGUGUAUAAACAAGAACAAUCAUGGUUAAGAUAAGGUAAUUGGCACCUAUCAGUUACAUGAAAAAUGGUUGUAUUAUUUUUACAUUUGUGGAGUAGGUAAUUUGCAUUGCAGCGAUUACAGAACUUAUGCACUAGUAUUAUAUGAAUAUGUUUGCCAAACAGUAAGUGAAAUUGAAACUGAUUAAGGUAGUGUAAUGUUACUGUUUUCAACAGCAAAGAUAAUAGAUGUAAUUUUGAUUUCUAAUGAUACAAUGGAAUUUAGGAAAGGAGUAAAUUUUCACUUUCAGUUGCAGAAAAUGUAGUGAUUUUUUUGUAGACUGCAUGAAUUGGAAAUAGAAAAAGAGAUGUUCUUUAUUUCCUCUGAUGUUAUUGAAAGGAAAGUUAAUAUAUAUCUCAUUUGUAUGUAUAAUAAGGAAGAAUAUGUUUUCUCCACCUCAGUGGCAAUGAAGAACAGUAACUUUUUUUUUAUCAUCAGUUAAAGAAUCACAUUUGCUGGUUUCACCUUCAUGAAGAUAUAUUGCAAAAUUGUGAGAGGAAGUAUUUGUGAGUGUAUGUUUUCAAGGCAUUCCUUCUAAUAUUCCUUGAUUUCAGAUAUGCCACUGAUAUAUGGUAACUACUAUGCCUUCGAUGUUAUCCUGAUGAAAUACAGUUGUUAUUAAAAACAUGGGUUCAUUCUAUUGCUCAUGAAUUUUCUUUUGACUUGCUUUGAUAUAUGCAUAUGGAGAUGGGAUAAUGGUUUGAGUGCCUAGAAAAAUGCUACCCACUAUCUGCCACUCCAUAAAAAUAACUGGAAGAUAGCUUUAACUUACUGCACAGCCAUGCAGAAGCAACACAUAGUGUACAUUUCUUAUUCAGCCUUGCAUAACCAUGUCAUAUAUCUUUUACUAAUAACGUCCACAAAAUAGUCAGUCAUAGGAUUGAAGUCCUUUCUUAAUCUCCCUUAAGCUCUCACCUGUGCAGGAGUGGAUAGACAUGCUGUUCAUUAACAAUGCUAUUGUAUAAAUAAUGAGGAGCCUGGAACAGGUAUGGAUGUCUGAAUCCUUGGCUUACUUGUAAAUCUUGAUGUACCCUUCAUAUGCAGACACAGGAAGCUCUGAAAUAAUGAACAACAUCAUCUUGAACACUCCAGGCUCAUGAGAUGAUGUGUGCGUUGCGUUGUGGUGGCGGGGUGUGAUGUGAUGGAGUGCAGGCUUGUAAGUUUGGUGUGGUGAUUUGCAUUUUUUUUUCUUUUUCUGGAAGACUUGCUUUCACAUAAAAAAUAAAUAUGGUUGGGAAGGAAAUGUUGUGCCACUCACAGCUGACUGCACAGUCACUCCAGAGAAAUAAUUCUUGCACAAUUUAUCCUUCAUAGUUUUCUCUGUUGUAGUGGGAGUGAUAAGGGAAAUGUAUUUUUUUAUUAUUUAUAAAUGAAUUACUAUUGAAAAAUUAUAAUGUUUGCAGCAUAUAUGAUGUAAUAUAUAAUACACAUGACAAUAAUAAAAGUUGUUCUUGA